UUGAUUUUUAAAGGAUGUGCUGGCUCCUCCGGGGGCAUGUGCACUCCUAACAAAAACCAAUAUCCACCUGUGCACCCUUAGUAGGCAGGAAAAGACCUUAUCCAAGGCCUUUUUUUGUCUAUGCUUCUAUCACAAACACUUGAUCUAUUUGAAUGCUAAUACAACAAAUAAUAAUUUGUAACA
rnacentral:misc_RNA from 1 species